GGAGGGAUCAUCAAAGAAAUAAAAAAACACGCAAGUGUUUUUUAUAUAUAAACAAACGAUCGCAACUAUUAUAAAGUGAUAAGAAGAGAAGCGCUUGCCUGAUAAAAAACAUUGGAAACAGAGAAAAAUAUAUACAACUUUCAACAACGGAUCUCUUGGCUCUCACAUCGAUGAAGAACAUAGCAAAGUGUGAAAAUUAAUGUGAAUUGCAGAAUUCAGUGAAUCAUUGAGUUUUUGAACGCAUCUUGCACUCUUUGGUAUUCCAGAGAGUAUGCCUGGUUGAGUAAUGUGAACAUAUAUAUCAGUCUAUAGAUUUUCUUUGGAAACAAGGAAAGGAAAGAUUGGAAUUGAGUGGGAUUACCUUGUUUCUCUCGUAAAGAGAAGAGACAGGGUUCACUUGAAAUGAAGGGAAUGUGAUGGCAAAAAGAGAGGGCUUGUGGUUGGUCAAGAGGAGAAAGGCAAUAAAACUCUUGUUGGUUCUUCUCUCUCUCAAUCUUUGGGAGAGAAAUUAACAAGAGGGGGAAACGUGUCUAGCUUGAUAAUAACAAUGACUUGAUGAGGUGAAAAAGGGGGGGGUUUGUGUUCAUAAAAAAGUCUUGUUUAGAGCUUUUCUGCUUCCACUUUGUCAGAACUCUGACCCGAUUUUUUUUACAAGGAGAAAUCUUCUUCCCUGUAUAAAAAACGCAGCGCUUUUGGUUGCAGCAAAAAGUCACAUCCACAACUAGGAAACAGAGAGAGAGAAAAGGGGAUUUUCCCCGUUUCUUCUCUAUCUAAUCAUCAUUCUCAACUCAGGCAAGACUACCCGCUGAAUUUAAGCAUAUAAAUAAGCGGAGGAAAAGAAACUAACUAGGAUUCCCUUAGUAACUGCGAGUGAAGCGGGAAAAGCUCAAAUUUGAAAUCUACCAAGAGUAACCUUCUUGGUCGAAUUGUAGUUUCAAGAAAGAAAGACUGAGAGAAGUCGGAUUGGAUGCAAGUUCCUUGGAAUGCGACAUCAGAGAGGGUGACAAUCCCGUCUACCGUCCUUCCGUCAUAUUGCUUCUCACCAAAGGUCAUCUUUUCAAAGAGUCGAGUUGUUUGGGAUUGCAGCUCAAAAUGGGUGGUAAAUUUCAUCUAAAGCUAAAUAUGGGUGAGAGACCGAUAGCGAACAAGUACCGUGAGGGAAAGAUGAAAAGCACUCUGAAGAGAGAGUGAAAAGUACGUGAAAUUGUUGAAAGGGAAACGCUUGAAACCAGUCAAGGUUUGCUAGAUUUCAGGGGAGUUUCAUGUGUUGGGCGGGGCUGGUGUGGAGAUUUGUUCUCUAUAUGGGAAUGAACUCUUGCGCUGGCUUUUUUUGCUUGGCCAUGCUCUCUGUACGUUUCUAGUAAACAAGUCAGCAUCAGUUUGAUUAUUAUUGUGCUUGGGAAAAGGACAUGUAGGAUUUGGUCGGGCUUUUGUUAGGGGGUUUUCCCUCUUGCAAGGUCUGGAGCCUGUUUGUCAUAUACCAAGCGUCGGACUGAGGAAUGCAUUACAAGGCAUUGACCUGGAAUAGGCCAUCUUAGGGUGCUGGUCUUGAUAAACAGCUUGCUGAUUGUUAAGAACGGGGCCCGAGACUUGUCAAAUCCAGGCAGGCUUUUGAUUUUGGAUGUUGACGAAAUGGUUUUAAACGACCCGUCUUGAAACACGGACCAAGGAGUCUAACAUGGAUGCAAGUAUUUGGGUGAUAGGAAACCCAGAUGCGCAAUGAAAGUGAGGUUCUCUCUUUAUGAGAGAACUAGGUAGGAUGUCUUUCAAAUAUUUUUUGGGGGAGGACUGCACUAUCGACCAAUCUUGACUAGCUCCGGCUUGAUAGAUUUGAGUAAGAGCAUGUAUGUUGGGACCCGAAAGAUGGUGAACUAUGCCUGAAUAGGGUGAAGUCAGACGAAAGUCUGAUGGAAGCUCGCAGCGAUUCUGACGUGCAAAUCGAUCGUCGAAUUUGGGUAUAGGGGCGAAAGACUAAUCGAACCAUCUAGUAGCUGGUUCCUGC
rnacentral:misc_RNA from 1 species